UCCACGAUAGCUCAAUGGCAGAGUAGGUGGCUGUUAACCAUCAGGUUCCAGGUUCGAGUCCUGGUCGUGGAGCCA
rnacentral:tRNA from 1 species